AGCAGCCGCGGUAAUUCCAGCUCCAAUAGCGUAUAUUAAAGUUGUUGCAGUUAAAAAGCUCGUAGUUGAAUUUCGGAAUCUGUCCGUCGGUCGGGCUUCACUGUCCGUACUGGUGUGGUGGGUUCUUACCUUCUGAAUAACCAGCAUGCCAUUCAUUUGGUGCGCUGGGGAAGCAGGACUAUUACCUUGAAAAAUUAGAGUGCUCAAAGCAGGCUAGUGCCUGAAUACAUUAGCAUGGAAUAAUAAAAUAGGACGGCAUGGUUCUAUUUUGUUGGUUUCUAGGAUCACCGUAAUGAUUAAUAGGGAUAGUUGGGGGCAUUAGUAUUCAAUUGUCAGAGGUGAAAUUCUUGGAUUUAUUGAAGACUAACUUCUGCGAAAGCAUUUGCCAAGGAUGUUUUCAUUAAUCAAGAACGAAAGUUAGGGGAUCGAAGACGAUCAGAUACCGUCGUAGUCUUAACAUAAACUAUGCCGAC
rnacentral:misc_RNA from 1 species